GACGAAUUUAUUCAAGGUACUUAGAAAUCUUCUAAAUUCUUGAAAAAAAUCCUGAAGGUUCAUCUGUGAGUCUAUUGCAUCGUGUUAAAUUUUCAGAAAAUAAGUCGAAGUGGUUUGGCCUACAAAAUUCGUGGACUGAACUGGUGUCUGAUUCGCGUCUGUGCAGACAGCACAGACACGUGUUGGAAAAACGGGCAUAACUUCUUGCUCGGGUGACGAAUCAGUGAAUCAAGGAGCACCGAAAUCAUAAGUUGUUCUUUCUUUUGGAGUACAAGUUUUGCAGGCGUUAUAGAUAUCCACUGCUGAUCGUCGUGGGGUUGUACGCUCGCUUAGGGUAGCAUGUCAGGAAGGCUGGACUAGUUUGGCGAAAUUUUGUAGAUAGGGAUGUAGUGCAACCUAUGUUUAUAUUUGGUUUAUUGUAUAGUUUAAUGCUUCUUAAGACUUUCACUGUGUUUGUAAGAACGUUUAAGUUUUGCGUUAUCAAUAAAAUGGUUGUUGGUUAAUUUAGUUGCUA